GAUGAACGCUGGCGGCGUGCCUAAUACAUGCAAGUCGAGCGGACAGACGAGGAGCUUGCUCCUCUGAUGUUAGCGGCGGACGGGUGAGUAACACGUGGAUAACCUACCUAUAAGACUGGGAUAACUUCGGGAAACCGGAGCUAAUACCGGAUAACAUGUUGAACCGCAUGGUUCAACAGUGAAAGACGGUCUUGCUGUCACUUAUAGAUGGAUCCGCGCCGCAUUAGCUAGUUGGUAAGGUAACGGCUUACCAAGGCAACGAUGCGUAGCCGACCUGAGAGGGUGAUAGGCGACACUGGAACUGAGACACGGUCCAGACUCCUAAGGGAGGCAGCAGUAGGGAAUCGUACGCAAUGGGCGAAAGCCUGACGGAGCAACGCCGCGUGAGUGAAGAAGGUCUUCGGAUCGUAAAAAUCUGUUAUGAGGGAAGAACAAAUGUGUAAGUAAAUAUGCACGUCUUGACGGUACCGAAUCAGAAAGCCACGGCUAACUACGUG
rnacentral:rRNA from 1 species